rfam:Marine metagenome ctg_1101668672762, whole genome shotgun sequence.
CCUAUGCUCUACGCAGCGGUCUCCUCUUUGGGGCCCUAGCCUCAGUACAGCAAAGGAGUUCCGACUCUUGCGCAGUGCUGUCGCCCGGAUCAUGCACCCUUGUGGAGCGUGGCCCGGGGCCCCAGCGGACCUCGGUUCGCUGGAGGGGUGGCCCUCCACCUCGAAUCCCGUCCCUCGAGGAACGACUCGAUGA